AACGUCUGACACAGGUGCUGCAUGGCUGUCGUCAGCUCGUGUCGUGAGAUGUUGGGUUAAGUCCGUAACGAGCGCAACCCUUGUCCUUAGUUACCAGCACGUUAUGGUGGGCGACUCUAAGGAGACUGCCGGUGACAAACCGGAGGAAGGUGGGGAGUGACGUCAAGUCAUCAUGGCCCUUACGGCCUGGGCUACACACGUGCUACAAUGGUCGGUACAAAGGGUUGCCAAGCCGCGAGGUGGAGCUAAUCCCAUAAAACCGAUCGUAGUCCGGAUCGCAGUCUGCAACUCGACUGCGUGAAGUCGGAAUCGCUAGUAAUCGUGAAUCAGAAUGUCACGGUGAAUACGUUCCCGGGCCUU
rnacentral:rRNA from 1 species